rnacentral:rRNA from 1 species
UACGGAGGGUGCAAGCGUUAUCCGGAUUUACUGGGUUUAAAGGGUGUGUAGGCGGACUUUUAAGUCAGCGGUGAAAUCUCCGGGCUCAACCCGGAAACUGCCAUUGAUACUAUUUGUCUUGAAUGUUGUUGAGGUGGGCGGAACGGGUCAGUGUAGCGGUGAAAUGCAUAGAUAUGACCCGGAACACCGAUUGCGAAGGCAGCCCACUAAGCAACGAUUGACGCUGAGGCGCGAAAGCGUGGGGAGCAAACAGG